AAAAGUAUGUAUAUUAAAUUAUAAAACUUAACGAUACUAGUGUGGGAGAUGUACUCCAUUGUCCUCUCCUACAUUUUUAUGUGGCUACAAAUGUUGUGGUCUCCAAGAAGUAGAAAAAAACAAAAAAAAACCCAAAAAACUUUCCCGUUCCUAUGUGUAGAACAAAAUGCUCCCCCUGCCCUAAUGUGUAGACCUAAUUUCAACACUGGCACUAAGACUUGAUGGCAUAUGAACUUGGGUAAGGUCUUUAAAGCCCUAUGAGCUUUAGCUCCCAGAUUUGUAACAAAAUGUAAUGGUGUUGCCUCCCAUGCAGAAUAGUGUGAGGAUGAAGAAGGUAUCCAGGUGUACCUCAUUUUCUUUUCUUCCCUAGACUUUUCUCCUUCAUGAUGCUUCUUUAGAGUUUCAGAGAUUAGAAAAGCCUUUUCCAAACUUUUUUGAUCCGUGUCCACAGUAACCACUUCAUAAACCACUAGGACAAUUAUAUACAUAAGUAUAUGUAAUGAAAGUGAUCCCCUAAUUUAUUGUAAAAAUUGGGAAAAUUAUUACUUUUGAAGAUAAUAACUGCUGAUCCAACAGGAAUAAACUGGGGGUGUUCUUGGAAAACGGAGCCACAUGUCAGAAAAACACUUAACCUUAUUUAUUUUGAUGCAUCCUGUUAAUUUAUCAUGUAUUCUAGUUAAUUAUAAAAAUGCUUUUCAGUAUCUAUUAAACUGAUUUUGUAACCCACUAAUGAAUCCCUACCCAAGUAUUUUGAUUCCUUCUAAAGUCUUGUCUGACCGUUCCACCAUUCUUGGGAUCCAGAAGCGCUGAAGAUUAGCAUACACAAAUAUGGAGAAGUUCUGGAAAACUGAAGGGGUUCUAAUUCCCAUAGGUACACAUAUUCUGUUUCUCUUCAUUCAUUCAUUACCUAUUUUUGCAUCCACUCAUUCGUCAAAUACUUGGAGCACUUUCUGUAUUAACAAGUGCUGGUAAUGAUCAGAUCCUGGAUGCUGGAACCUGGUGGUCCCUACCCUUGAGGAAUUCUUGCCUUCUGGCGGGGCAAACGCAUCUGAAGAUACAUCAUUUCAGGACAGGGAGAUAAGUGGUGCUGUACAGAGAUGAUCAAAAGGUCUUAGGAACCUGGAAGAAGGAUCCACCAACUUCGGCAGGGAGGAAGGAGGGUUCCGGGGAGAAGAGUGACAUUUAAAUGUAUGAAGUUCUCAAGGAAGCCAUGGAGGCAUCAGGGCGUUGGCUGAGCUACCGCCAACCAGCCUCUAGGCUGCUCCACGUGGCUCUUUCGCCAGGGCAGGAGCGGUUCUGGGGCUGACUUGCAGCCCCAUCUACCCCUGCGGUAUUUCUCAGAUUUACUUUAAACGUCAUGAGAGUACUCAACCCCGCUCUAUUUUGGUCCCCCCAAACUAGCUGACCCAUCCAACUUACCCUGCUUGAAUUUUUUCCUAGCAUUUUACACCUUCUAAAUACACUAUAUAAUUUACUUAUCCGGUAUGUUUACUACCUGUUUCGUCCUCCUGGAACUUAAGCUGAAGGAGAGGAUUAGUCAGUUUCGUUUGCUUCGGUGUUCCGCCCGCCCCUUGCCUAGUCCGUUCACAACAGGUUCCUGAUAAAUAAUGGGCAUGACCUGAAAGAGCAAAUUUCUGUAUCCAAGACAUAAUUUCCAUGGGCUCAUUUCUGAAGGAAAGUGUAGAGGAAAAUCAAGACCUACAAGGAACCAUUUCUAAUAACAGCCUUUUCGUCCUUCGCUUCAACAGUGUUUAUUGAUCACCUGCUCCCCAUCAGCCCUGCUUUGAGCACUUGGAUUUCAGAGAGGAGGACAGAUCUUCUUUUCUGUCUUCUUGGCGUUCACCUGCCGGAAUGGAAGCAGACGUUAAUGAGCUAUGUAAUUGCAAAUCUGAGAGAUCUACAAAGGAAAAAAAAAAGUACAGGAUGCUCUAAAAGCCUGAAACGGUAAGCUUCACACCCAGUGCAGAGCUCAAACUCAGAACCCCGAGAUCAAGACCUGAGCUGAGAUCAAGAGUCAGAUGGUUAAACGUCUGAGCCAACCAGCGCCCCUCUGGCACUAGAUUAAUUCUAAUUUGCUGUUAUAGCUUCUGAUGGUUCUUCCCAGUAGUUGUUCUACUUUUAAUUGGUUAAUUAAUGAGUUGUUCAAGGUCUGACUCUUUCUAGAACAUAAGGCACACGAAGGCUGGAACCAUGUGCCAGCCCCCAGUACCUAGCCCAGUGCUAUUUGCAUAUGUAGUGAGAAUUUAAUAAAUGGUUGGUAGAAUAAAUGCCUGUAUGGGUUUUAAAAAACCUUA